CCCCUCCAGGGUCUGCGUUGAAUAUCCCGCGGGUCGGGACAUUUUUGGCGCCCAAACGUGGGGCCUGGAUACGGGGGAUCCCGUGAGGAAGAAGGCACGGAGAAAAAAGGGGCGGCCGCCCGAAAUUAAAGAACCUUGGCUUCGCAGGAACCUGCUGCAUUGUUACUGAGGUCUAUGAUUUUUGUAUUCUUCCUUGUUCUUGGACUAUUGGCUCCCUGGCCUCAGGCCCAGUCGGGUUUUGGAGAUCCUGGACUCACUCGACAAUUGG